rnacentral:rRNA from 1 species
CAGCCGCCGCGGUAAUACGUAGGGUGCGAGCGUUGUCCGGAAUUAUUGAGCGUAAAGAGCUUGUAGGCGGUCUGUCGCGUCUGCUGUGAAAACCCGAGGCUCAACCUCGGGCCUGCAGUGGGUACGGGCAGACUAGAGUGCGGUAGGGGAGAACGGAACUCCUGGUGUAGCGGUGGAAUGCGCAGAUAUCAGGAAGAACACCGAUGGCGAAGGCAGUUCUCUGGGCCGUAACUGACGCUGAGAAGCGAAAGCGUGGGGAGCGAACAGGAUUAGAUACCCCUGUAGUCCCUGUCUCUUAUAC